AAACGAUAGCUAAUACCGCAUAACGUCUUCGGACCAAAGAGGGGGACCUUCGGGCCUCUCGCGCUAAGAUUAGCCCAGGUGGGAUUAGCUAGUUGGUGGGGUAAAGGCUCACCAAGGCAACGAUCCCUAGCUGGUCUGAGAGGAUGAUCAGCCACACUGGAACUGAGACACGGUCCAGACUCCUACGGGAGGCAGCAGUGGGGAAUAUUGCACAAUGGGGGAAACCCUGAUGCAGCCAUGCCGCGUGUAUGAAGAAGGCCUUCGGGUUGUAAAGUACUUUCAGUCGUGAGGAAGGUGGUGCAGUUAAUAGCUGCAUCACUUGACGUUAGCGACAGAAGAAGCACCGGCUAACUCCGUGCCAGCAGCCGCGGUAAUACGGAGGGUGCGAGCGUUAAUCGGAAUUACUGGGCGUAAAGCGCAUGCAGGCGGUCUGUUAAGCAAGAUGUGAAAGCCCGGGGCUCAACCUCGGAACCGCAUUUUGAACUGGCAGACUAGAGUCUUGUAGAGGGGGGUAGAAUUUCAGGUGUAGCGGUGAAAUGCGUAGAGAUCUGAAGGAAUACCGGUGGCGAAGGCGGCCCCCUGGAC
rnacentral:rRNA from 1 species